UUUAGUUGUGAUUUCUUGAGGAGAUGAGUUGGUAAUUGUGUGAGAAUGUUUGUGGCAGCAAAGGUCCUCCAAGAAUUAAAAGAAAUAGAUGCAUGCUUGUGGGUAAAUCUUGGAAUCCUUGGUGAUUUAGCACUAGAUAAGUUAUGGGAAGCGUAUAAGUAGAGAAGUUGCUGUGGUGGCGUGCUAGAGGAAGUAAUGGGUGACCGGCAAGUAGAAUUAGCUAGAUACGCAUCCGAGUCAAUAGCGAAGUAGUAUCCCACUAUUGUGAGAUAGUGAUCGGCUAGCGUGCAAUCAUCGGCACUUAUGGUUCACCACGGAUAGGUAAAGGCAUCUUAUAGCAUUUCAUUCUAAGUCACUCCGCUAUUAGAGGUCGAGUCAUUCGUAGCAUAAUUUGAUUGUAAAUAGUAUUAAUGUAAAGGUAUGGUUGGAUAUUAAAAACCUUUAUGUACUUCUACAAUUAUGUUGAAUAAAAGUUGAGUUGAUUUAUCAUA
rnacentral:sRNA from 1 species